rnacentral:tRNA from 1 species
AAUUAAUGAGCUUGUAUAAGCAUAUGUUUUGAAAACAUAAGAAAGUAUAAUUAAUUACUAUUAAUUU